GAGGGUAUAGCUCAGUGGUAGGUGUUUGUCUAGCAUGCAUGAGGUCCUGGGUUCGAUCCCCAGUACUGCCA
rnacentral:tRNA from 1 species